rnacentral:tRNA from 1 species
GCGCCCGUAGCUUAGUGGAUAGAGCGCUGGCCUCCGGAGCCAGAGGUCGGGGGUUCGAGUCCCUCCGGGCGCGCCA